CACAGCUCUAGAGGCUGAGGCAGGAGGGUCUCAAGUUCAAGGCCAGCCUCAGCAGCUUGGCAAGACCCUGUCUCUAAGUAAAAUAUAGAAAUGGCUGGGGGUGUGGCUCAGGGGUUCAGUGCCCUGGAUCUAAUCCCCAGUACAAAAACCCCAGAGAGUCAGCCAGGGACAGACUCGGGUCUGGCCAGCAGUCUGUACAGCAAACCCAGGAACUUUCCUGGGGCGGCGAGGACACCAGCUGAGCAGCUGUCACAGCCAUCCCUGUGACAGGUGGCAAGAAGUACCUGCUGUCAUCCGGGAGUCCCCAGGGUGUUUCUGGAAGAACAGCGUGCAUGGCCCCCGAGACUCGAUUUCAGCACCUGUUCUGACACCCUCCCCCCUGGGCCCUGGGGACUCACCUGGGGCUCCCUCCUUUCUGGGCUCCUCCUUCCUCCCUGGGCUCCAGGACACCAUGACCCUGGAGCCACCUGCAGGGAUCAGGGUGGCCCUUCCUCUGCACAGAGAAAUCCUCUAGAUGGAGGUGGGACCCUCCUGGGGCCGGGUAAUGAGGGCUGGGGCAGGGACUUCCUGCUGUGCUGUGUCCCAUGUUCUGCGACCCAAGGGGACAGCACUUGGAGAUUCUUAGGGGACUGUAUCAGUUAGCUGUUGCUCUGUAACAAACAGCGCUGGGACUUACUAGCUUAAAACAAUACCAUCAACCUCGGCCCCAAUUCUGCAGGCCAGCAGCUGGGGCUGGCCUUAGCUGGGCAGUCCCGCUCUGGGCUGGGUGGUCUG
rnacentral:lncRNA from 1 species